rnacentral:rRNA from 1 species
GAGGCAACUCUGAUCCAGCCAUGCCGCGUGCAGGAAGACGGCCCUAUGGGUUGUAAACUGCUUUUAUACGGGAAGAACCACAUCUACGUGUAGAUGCUUGACGGUACCGUAUGAAUAAGGACCGGCUAACUCCGUGCCAGCAGCCGCGGUAAUACGGAGGGUCCAAGCGUUAUCCGGAAUCAUUGGGUUUAAAGGGUCCGUAGGCGGGAUAAUAAGUCAGUGGUGAAAGUCUGCAGCUCAACUGUAGAAUUGCCAUUGAUACUGUUGUUCUUGAAUUAUUAUGAAGUGGUUGGAAUGAGUAGUGUAGCGGUGAAAUGCAUAGAUAUUACUCAGAACACCUAUUGCGAAGGCAGAUCACUAAUAAUAUAUUGACGCUGAGGGACGAAAGCGUAGGUAGCGAACAGGAUUAGAUACCCUGGUAGUCUACGCCGUAAACGAUGGUUACUAGCUGUCCGGCCUAAUUGAGGGCUGGGUGGUUAAGCGAAAGUGAUAAGUAACCCACCUGGGGAGUACGUUCGCAAGAAUGAAACUCAAAGGAAAUUGACGG